UUUUUUUGGACUUUCCAUGAGGAGUUUCAAAGAGCUUUACGUUUAUGUCCAUUUUUGCAUUUCACUUUGUAACUUCAUAUGCAAGCUUGUGCAGCCCCUUGUGCACGUCCAAUUCACUUACAUUUGAUAUCAGCAUGGAUUUGCAUUCAUUCUUGGGCCUUACAUGCGCCUGUACAGGCCCAUGCAAGAGGAAUUCAAAUUCCAUGCAUACGAGCCAAGCAUUGCAUUGCAUCACAUUCCAG
rnacentral:lncRNA from 1 species